UUUAAGUUGUGAUUUUUAUAUUCGUAUUAUCAAUCUGUCUUCCAAACUCAAAACACGAUUAGAACAAGUGGUACUGUUGUAUUUGAUUAGAGCUGAUUAAUGAGACUUGCAGAAGCUGAUGACACGCUAAUAUGAUUAAAUAACGAUAUCCAGUCAGAUGACAUCGAUAUCUCAACUCCAAUUGAUAUAAGCUAUUCUAAUCAUAUACUAGUUUAUGAGAUUGGUCACUAGAUGACUUUUGGGUGUGUUGAUUAAAGACACUUUAAGAUAAUUUGUCUUUUAACCUAACUCGUACGACAAAUUAAGAUCUGGAAGCAAAAGACUCGCAAUUAGCAAUAUUUUCAUAAAGUCUACAUUAUGUAAUUUGUUAUUUAUCUUUUUUUUGUUAUUAGUCUAAAUAUUUAAAUUAUGACUUUUCUCAAUAUUUUUCUUGGUGAUUACAAAAUAUUUAGUGAGAUAUUUUGUAUUAUUCACUUGUGCUUUCUUUAGCUUCACGCCACCCCGCCAGCUUUUUGUUUAUUUAAGCUGAAUCAUUUUUUUUAGGGGAAUUGGGGCCUAUAGCCAUGAAAAAAACAUUAAUUAGAAGACUAGCACUUUACCCUAACGGAUCGAUACACGCCGUGAUAUAUACAUAAUAUUACUGUAAGACCCUCUUUAAUUUACCGGCUCACCUGCUAUGAAAAAAAUGAAAAAUCAUUUUCAAUUAACUCCUAAGUAAAUCGUGUCUCUUCCCUUUCCACACAACCUCCAUUCCCACUUUCUUCAUCUACGGUUCUUCCCCCUCCAUACGCUUCUCUCGCAAAUCUCCUUCACCCGCUCGCCUCCGUCUCCGUCGUUCUCGCUUCAGAUCGUCUCCGUCUUCUAUUUUGCUUCUCGGUUCUCUCCAUCUUCGCUAACGCGUUACGGUGUCGGUAGAGCCAAGUAAAACCGCCGGUGUCUUCAACUUCAUAUCGCCGCGGGGUUCUCAAUUCUCUGCCACGACCGUAAGUUCUUGCCUCCUUAUGCUUCUUCUCUGUUUCUCUGUUUUGAUUAUUCUAUCUCGUCAAAAUUAGGGUUUUUACAAGUUCUCUGUAUCAUCGUGAAGGAACCAAUAACAUAUCGUAUGAAGCUGUUUAUACUACUAUUGCUUGGAAUUAUCCAUUUCAAAUGACAUAGUAUUCGGGAAUCACUCAACCAUUUUUUGUAGUAUACUAUAUCUUGUCAUAUCAUGGUAUGUAUUUUUAUUUUAGGUUUCCACUUCGAAUGACAUAGUAAUCAGGAAUCACUCACCCAGGAUAUUUAGUAAACUAUAAGUUUGCAAUUGCUUGAUUUGCUACCGGUGAAUCUGUGUUGUUUGAGUAGUAUGCGCAUGUUCAAAAGAACUGGCCUCAACCAUUAUGUGUAGUUUUGGUGUGGUUUGAUUAGUAAGUUCGUCAUGUCCGUUUUGUUGUUCAUUUAAUUAACAAGUGGAAUAGAAUUAAGCUACACUAACAAGACAAAUAGUAUACAUGUCAAACUAUUCCAUUUCAUCUCUAAUAGUAAAGCCCCUAAUACUAUUUUCCAUUCUUCUAUCGGUUCACCAUCCUCUAAGUCUUUCAUAUGUACUUGUUUUCAUUAAUUUUUGUUAAGUGUUUAACGUCAUGUGUAGGUUUACCACUCUCACAUUAGAUUUGUAUCCAAGUGACGUAUACAAUAUAUGGAAUGGAAAAUGUCCACCAGAAUAUACAUGUCACUACAAGCUUUGUAUAUAAGUUUACCAUAGAUUUCGCUUCCCUGUGCUGGAUUUAUAUUUUCCUAUCUUGGGUUUAGUAUUUGAUGUCAAGUAUUCUAUUAUCAUACCCCAUAUCUUUCUAUUUGAUUUUGCUCAUAAAGCGUCUACAUACAUAUGUCUCCUAUUAUGCCAGGUGAGUUUUAUUCAAAAAGGUUUGGGUUCCAUUAACUAGGUUUUGGGGUUUACAUUCCCCUAACUUGGCUUUAGUGUUUACUCUCAAGUAUAGUUUUAACACUCCCUCGUAAUGAAUCAUCUAAAUACAUAUGUCCCCUAUUAUACCAUGUGGGUUUAAUUACAAAAAGGUUUUGGUUCCGUUUACUAUGUCUUGGGGUUUAUAUUCCCCCAACUUGGGUUUAGUGAUUACUCUCAAGCUUAGUUUUAACAGGCCCUCAUUAAAUUUGUUUCCACCUAACAUAGUAUACUGUAAAUGAAAUGGAAUUAAUAUAAAACUAUAUAACUAUCAGAAUAGGAUUUGGGGUUUAUAUUUCCCCUAACUUGGGUUUAGUGAUUACUUUGUCCCCUAUUAUGUCAUGUGGGUUUAAUUAGAAAAAUGUUUAGGUUCCGUUUACUAUGUCUUGGGGUUUAUAUUCCCCUAACUUGGGUUUAGUGAUUACUCUCAAGCCUAGUUUUAACAAGCCUUCAUUAAACUUGUUUCCACCUCACAUAGUAUACUGUAUGUGGAAUGUAAUGAAUAUAAAACUAUAUAACUAUUUUGGAUGGCAGAAGAAAGCUUUGAUUGAAGAUAGAAACGAAAUUUGGGAGAAAAACAAAAUUAUUGCACAAUUGAAGAAGACAAUUGGUGAGUUUAGUAGUGAUUUGGUCAAGAAAGAAGAGAUAGAAGAAGACAUAAUUAACCGCUUUCUUAAGAUGUAAUGAUCUUAUUGUAAUGUUUAAGCGAUAUUAUUGUAGUGCUUACGACAUGUCUUGGUCGGAACUUCUUUGUAGUUCCUAUAAUAUCGACUAGUUUUUAAUUGAAGACAUCAUGUUUCCUUUGUCGUAGAGUGAAGGUGAAUGCAAAUCUCCUUUACCUUUGUAUAUAAUCUAGCUCAUUAGGAAUGUAAAUACAAGUCUCCCAUCUCCAUUAUAUUAUUUAGAUAUAUGUAUAUAUGAUAUACUAUACAAUUACUAUAUGAUUAACAUGGCUUAUAUAAGGUUGAAUUGUAGUUCGGAUCGAAUUUAAAUGAUUAAGUGAUAGAAAUGUACAUAACAUACACUAUACUAUGUGGAAUAUAACUACCUUCAAUUGCAAAUUUAUUGCACUAACGACAUCAUCACAGACGAGCUGUAACCCACAAUUGCAAAUUUAUUGCACUAACGACAUCACCACCUUUCCCCAACCGCACACUUCACCGUCUUCGGUUGUGAUUAUUUUAGUAAAUAUAAACUGAUCUAUAUCCGAUAGAAUGGAAAAUAUUCUCAUAUGACAUGGCGGUGACAAACUUUAAACUGUUGUUAUACUAUGUGUAUUCUAUUUGAAGUGGAACUAUUUCUAUAUUUUGGCAUCAGCAUUACGAUCCAUGCAUUCUCCGUUUGUAACGUUCUUUCUUUUACGCUUCUAUUUUUUUAUAUUUUCAUCUCUCUAGAAUGUUUUCCUUCCUUUCAUUUUUAUUUCAGGCGUUGUCAAAAUACUCUCAUUGUUACUAUGGUCAGUAAAUCACCACGUCGUUUACUUUAGUUAAAGGAACUGGGAACCUGUUCUCUAUAAGGGUAUAACCGGCUAGUAAGAUGGUAAAAAGACAGUGAGUACAUUAUGUCAGCAUCAUAACUAUUCUCUUAAUUUCCAUCUCAAAUAUGGCUAUUGCUGCAAUAAGCCCUUUUUUUUAUGCAUCUUCUUAUCCUAUUCGAAUCUUUUAUAUUUUUCAAUUUGUUUUUUUUUUGUUUCCUUUCUUUAAAUUAAUAUAGCACAGUCUCUACGGCAUAUGAGUCAUCCCAUUUGCAUCACCUUUAUUCAUUUAUAAGAUUAUGACGAGUGUUGAAAAAAACAAGUUUCUGUAGUAUUUGAUAAACUUGUUUUACUUUUUGGCAAAUUGGGUUAAGUUGCUACUUUAAUCAUGAAUAAUAAUCAGCAAAUUGUAGGGAAAAGGGUCCACCAUGAGAUAUUGUCUUCUAAAUAUGUCUACUUCAGUGAGAAGAAUCUAGGUCGAACCCGGAUUGAUAACUGGGUUAAAACAACUUUCAUUUAACCCUUCCCCCUUCUUUGUUAAGUGAUUGUAAGUUAAUGUUUGAAGUUUGAACUAACUAUCUUUUAUGGGAAAUUGGGGGGCUAUAGCUAUGAAAAAAGAGUAAUUCACACAUUAACGUUUUUACCUAACGGAUGUAUAGACGGCGUCAUAUAUACAUAAUAAUACUAUGAUGCCCUUUCCAAUUAACCGGGUAACCUGCUACAAGAUAAAUAAAUAAAAAAAAAAAUUUAUUGCCCAAAGUGAAUCGUGUCUUCUCCUUCUCCCUUUCUUCAUCGGUUGUUUCAGGAAUUCCAAAGGACCCUGGUGCUUAUCUCCUCAUACGGCUCCCCUCUCACAGCAAUCAACCUUUCAUCUUCGUCGUCUUCCCUUUUAAUCAACUUCGGCUUUACGGGCGUCUGUGGUUCGGUUUUGCGCGACAGUUUCGGCGGAGAGGACUAACACCGCCGGCAUCUCCAACUUCACAGAGUAUCUGCUUUCUCAGAUCUUUCACAACGCUGUAUCAUUGUGCCAUAGAUUCUAUUAUUUCUAUGUUUGUCAUGGAUGAAUUGGAAGAGUGUUUAUAUGUGGUUUAUAUUAGUCUGUAUAUGAUUUUGUAAAGAGAAAUAAUAUAUUGAACGUAAAUAGAAUAAUAUUUAUCAUGACAUCAAAUAAAACAAAAUACAAUGUGAUGUUGAAUGGGAAUGAUACAUAAAUGAUGUUGUCUC